rnacentral:rRNA from 1 species
CCUACGGGGGGCAGCAGUGGGGAAUAUUGCACAAUGGGGGAAACCCUGAUGCAGCGACGCCGCGUGAGCGAAGAAGUAUUUCGGUAUGUAAAGCUCUAUCAGCAGGGAAGAAAAAUGACGGUACCUGAGUAAGAAGCACCGGCUAAAUACGUGCCAGCAGCCGCGGUAAUACGUAGGGGGCAAGCGUUAUCCGGAUUUACUGGGUGUAAAAGGAGCGUAGACGGCGAAGAAAGUCUGAAGUGAAAGCCCGCGGCUUAACCGCGGAACUGCCUUGGAACCUUUUUUGCUGGAGUACC